GGGAAUGUGGCUUAGUGGUAGAGUGCUUGUCUCACACACAUGAAGCCCUGAGUUUGAUUCCUCAGCACCA
rnacentral:tRNA from 1 species